UACGUAGGGUGCAAGCGUUGUCCGGAAUUAUUGGGCGUAAAGAGCUCGUAGGCGGUCUGUCGCGUCGGAUGUGAAAAUCCAGGGCUCAACCCUGGACCUGCAUUCGAUACGGGCAGACUAGAGUUCGGCAGGGGAGACUGGAAUUCCUGGUGUAGCGGUGAAAUGCGCAGAUAUCGGGAGGAACACCAGUAGCGAAGGCGGCUCGCUGGGCCACACCUGACGCUGAGACGCGAAAGCUAGGGGAGCAAACGGG
rnacentral:rRNA from 1 species